rnacentral:rRNA from 1 species
UGAGUACGAGAUGCUACGGCAUCGAAGCAGUCUAUGUCAUACUUCCAAGAAAAGCUUGCACUGUCAUAAACAAAGAAUGCCUGUACCAUAACCGACACAGGUGGGUAGGUAGAGUAUACUAAGGGGCGCGAGAUAACUCUCUCUAAGGAACUCGGCAAAAUGACUCCGUAACUUCGGGAGAAGGAGUGCCUUAUUUCUAAGGUUGCAAUAACAAGAUCCAAGCAACUGUUUACCAAAAACACAGGUCUCCGCUAAGUCGUAAGACGAUGUAUGGGGGCUGACGCCUGCCCAGUGCCAGAAGGUUAAAGAAGUUGGUUAGCAUUAGCGAAGCUGAUAACUGAAGCCCUGGUGAACGGCGGCCGUAACGAUAACGGUCCUAAGGUAGCGAAAUUCCUUGUCGGGUAAGUUCCGACCCGCACGAAAGGCGUAAUGAUUUGGAUACUGUCUCGGAGAGGGGCUCGGUGAAAUAGACUUGUCUGUGAAGAUGCGGACUACCUGCACCUGGACAGAAAGACCCUAUGAAGCUUUACUGUAACUUGAGAUUGAAAUUGGACUUUAUUUGCGCAGUAUAGGUGGGAGGCGUUGAGAAUAAUCUUGCGGGAUUGUUGGAGCCAUCAGUGAGAUACCACUCUUGUAAUGUUAGAUCUCUAACUUUGUAUCAUUAUCUGGUCAAAGAACAGUUUCAGGCGGGCAGUUUGACUGGGGCGGUCGCCUCCCAAAGGGUAACGGAGGCGCACAAAGGUUUCCUCUGAACGGGUAGAAAUCGUAUCUAGAGUGUAAGGCAUAAGGAAGCUUGACUGUGAGACCUACAAGUCGAGCAGGGACGAAAGUCGGUCUUAGUGAUCUGACGGUGCUGAGUGGAAAGGCCGUCACUCAACGGAUAAAAGUUACUCUAAGGAUAACAGGCUGAUCUCCCCCAAGAGUUCACAUCGACGGGGAGGUUUGGCACCUCGAUGUCGGCUCAUCGCAUCCUGGGGCGGUAGUCCGUCCCAAGGGUUGGGCUGUUCGCCCAUGAAAGCGGUACGCGAGCUGGGUUCAGAACGUCGUGAGACAGUUCGGUCCAUAUCCGGUGUAGGCGUUAGAAUAUUGAGAGGAGCCUUCUCUAGUACGAGAGGACCGAGAAGGACAUACCUCUGGUGUACCAGUUAUCGUGCCAACGGUAAACGCUGGGUAGCUAUGUAUGGAGUGGAUAACCGCUGAAAGCAUCUAAGUGGGAAGCCCACCUCAAGAUAAGUAUUCUC